rnacentral:misc_RNA from 1 species
UUAAGUUCAGCGGGUAUCCCUACCUGAUCCGAGGUCAAUUCAUUGAAAUAGGGUUGUUGUCUGGCGGGCCCAGGGGGAGCUUCCAAAGCGGGAAAUAAUUUACUACGCUUGAAGUCCGACCGGACCGCCCAUGCUUUUGGGGCCCGCCCGGGGAGGCGAAGGCCCAAUACCAAGCUACGCUUGAGGGGUGCAAUGACGCU